AACGAACGCUGGCGGCAUGCCUAACACAUGCAAGUCGAACGAGACCUUCGGGUCUAGUGGCGCACGGGUGCGUAACGCGUGGGAACCUGCCCUUAGGUUCGGAAUAACUCCCCGAAAGGGGUGCUAAUACCGGAUAAUGUCUUCGGACCAAAGAUUUAUCGCCUUUGGAUGGGCCCGCGUUGGAUUAGCUAGUUGGUAGGGUAAAAGCCUACCAAGGCGACGAUCCAUAGCUGGUCUGAGAGGAUGAUCAGCCACACUGGGACUGAGACACGGCCCAGACUCCUACGGGAAGCAGCAGUGGGGAAUAUUGGACAAUGGGCGAAAGCCUGAUCCAGCAAUGCCGCGUGAGGGAUGAAGGCCUUAGGGUUGUAAAGCUCUUUUACCCGGGAUGAUAAUGACAGUACCGGGAGAAUAAGCUCCGGCUAACUCCGUG
rnacentral:rRNA from 1 species